rnacentral:rRNA from 1 species
AUGUUCAAUGAGGUGCUAUUGCACAUGGAGCUCGAUGAUGAUAAAGCAAGCGUGAUAAGUAGAUUGGCUGAUGACUAUGAAAGAGGUGAAGGUGAAUGCUUCAACUCUAAGUUGCCAAUCAAUGACCGAACAAAAAAGAUUCUUUGGUGGGGUGCUUAUGGUGGCCUUGCUUAUGAGCUGCAGCAUUUAGCAAAGCACAUAGUUAGCCUUUGUGCUUCAGCUUCCGGUUGCGAACGAAAUUGGUCUUGCUUUCAAAAUAUCCAUAGCAAAAAGAGAAAUAGGUUGGAGUUCCAAAGACUUAAUGAUUUGUCAUAUGUUCAAUACAACCAGAAGAAUGCCGAUAGGUUCUGAAAGAUUUGUGAGGAAGGCUCCAAAGGGACUAGGUCUGACCCAUUAGUCCUAAAAGACUUACAAUGGGACAAUGAAUGGGUUGACCAUAAUGCCCAGCCGGUUUAUGAAGGGGCUGAUAUCACUUGGGCUCAAGUUGACGAAGCUGUCGGUGCAUCUGAAGGUCCAUUGCGCAACCUUAGAAGCCGUGGGAGUGGGAGCCAGGCUGUUGUUACUCAUGUCUAUUCUCGAUCUCGAGUGCACCAAGUUGGAGAAGAUGAGGACGAGGAGGAUGAUGCAAAUCAGGAGGUUGAGCUUGAAGAUUAUUCAACAAGUGAAGAUGAUCAAGAGGGAAAUCAAGGUGAAGAAGGUGAAGGUGGAGGUGAAGAGAGAGGCUCCAUUGGCUUUGAUGAUGAUCUGGAUUACUAG